AAGUAUAUGCAUAUUUGAUAUGUAGAAACUGCGAACGGCUCAUUAAAACAGUUAUAAUCUACUUGACAUUUGUACUUAUAUAAGGAUAACUACGGAAAAUCUGUAGCUAAUACUUGCUCAUGAACAUAUUUGCCUAGCAAAUGUGUUUUAGUACUUGUUAUCUUUUAUAAACAAAAGUAUAGUAAACGAUUGAAUAAUAACAACGAAGUGACACGUAACCUGACUUAUGUCUAGUUUAGUGUGUAUCAAUCGAGUUUCUGACCUAUCAGCUAUGGAUGUUAGGAUAUGGACCUAACAUGGCUAUGACGGGUAACGGGGAAUUAGAGUUCGAUUCCGGAGAGGGAGCCUGAGAAACGGCUACCACAUCUAAGGAAGGCAGCAGGCGCGUAACUUACCCAAUUCUAAAGAAGAGAGGUAGUGACAAGAAAUAAUAGGAUAAGACUAAUUUUUAGUUUUAUAUCUGUGCUGAUAGAAAAUUAAAUUUUUUCUGAAAUACUAUUGGAGGGCAAGUCUGGUGCCAGCAGCCGCGGUAAUUCCAGCUCCAAUAGCGUAUAUUAAAAUUGUUGCAGUUAAAACGCUCGUAGUUGUAUUUUCAAAAAGAUAGAAAAUUGAUCAUGACGAUAGCUUAGGGUUUAUACUUUUUUGUGCAUUUUUGCACAUUAAGGCAUAAAUGUAUAUCCGUAUACCUAUCUCGAUUUUUGAUAUCUUUCAUUUAUUAUUUAGCACUGUGUAGUAUUGUAUACUUCAACGUGCUAAAGGAUAGUUACUUUGAGUAAAUUAGAGUGUUUAAAGCAGACUUGUUUUGUUUGAAUACGAUAGCAUGGAAUAACGACAUUGAACUGGUGACACUUAUUUUUGUUUUGUUUUCGUUUCGCUACGUUACGAUUAAUAGGAGUAGCAUGGGGGCAUUUGUAUUCAGAUGUUAGAGGUGAAAUUCUUAGAUUUUCUGGAGACAAACUACUGCGAAAGCAUUUGCCUAAAAUACUUCCAUUAAUCAAGAACGAAAGUUAAGGGAGUGAAGACGAUCAGAUACCGUCGUAAUCUUAACCAUAAACGAUACCGACUAGGUUUUGGAUACAACCAUAUAUAUAGCGUGAUUAAUAGUUUUUAUAAUAUUUUUUUAUUAUGGCUAUCAAAUUAUGUCUAUCAAUACUUUAUUCAGUACCUUAUGAGAAAUCAAAGUCUUUGGGUUCUGGGGCGAGUAUUCGCGCAAGCGAGAAAGUUAAAAGAAUUGACGGAAGGGCACCACCAGGCGUGGAGCUUGCGGCUUAAUUUGACUCAACACGGGAAACUUCACUAGUGUAAGACAAGAGUAGGAUUGACAGAUUGAUUAUUGGUUCUUUCUUGAUUUCUUGGAUGGUGAUGCAUGGCCGUUUUUAGUUCGUGAAUUUUGAUUUGUCUGGUUAAUUCCGAUAACGAACGAGACCUUACUUUGCUAAUUAGCGGUGGGUACACUAGUUUAUUUGUAAACAUGUUGUAAGUAUGUCUUGUUUGGGACAUGCUUGAUAAAUUGUCCGUAUGUCUCAAUACAAGACCAUAUUUUAUAAUACUAUCACUUAUAAACGUACUUAUUUAUGUUUAUGCUUCUUAGAGGAACGAUGUGUGUUUAACACAAG
rnacentral:rRNA from 1 species